rnacentral:lncRNA from 1 species
AUUUCACAGGAUUUCCAUCCCACAACCCAAGCACAUCCCCCCACCCCCCAACUAUCUCCUCUGGACACCACAGUUUUUCAAAGUCCAUGAGUCAGCAUCUGUUCUGCAAAGAAGUUCAGUCUGUCCUUUUUUCAGAUUCCACAUGUCAACGAAAGCAUUUGAUGUUGGUGUCUCAUUGUAUGGCUGACUUUGCUUAGCAUGAUAAUUUCUAGAUCCAUCCACGUUGCUAAAAAUGCUGGUAUUUUGUUCCUUUUAAUGGCUGAGUAAUAUUCCAUUGUGUAUAUGUACCACAUCUUCUCAAUCCACUCCUCUGUCGAUGGACAUUUAGGUUGUUUCCAUGUCUUGGCUAUUGUAAAUAGUGCUGCAAUGAACACUGGAGUACAUGUGUCUUUGCAAGUCAUGUUUCUCUCUGGAUAGAUGCCCUAUUGGGCCCAGAAUUCUAUGAUUCUGUUCUCUGCCUACAUUUGGGGUCUACACUGCGUAUAUGUCUCUAACCAGAAUGAAUACUACUGGUAUUUCUGAGCUGAGUUAGUAUCACUUCAGACAAAGGUAAAAAAACAUUUUAGGAACCUUGUGCUGUCUUAUCACAGGUAUAGUUUUUAUUAGACACUUUGAAAUAUUAAAAGUGGAACAGUACUGUUCUGCAUGGAUCAAGUGUGUAUUUUGUGCCUGCCCUGUCCUGAGUGCUUUCUAUAUACUUCAUAGUACUGGCCUGAAAUAGGUAGUCUUAUCCUCAUCGACACAUAAGGAACCUGAGGUAAAAGAGGUUCAUUAAGCAACAUAUCUAAAGUUAUACAGCCUAUAUGUGAUACAGCUACUUCACUGUACAGCAGAAAUUGAUGGAACACUGUAAAUCAACUCUGGUAAAAAUUUUUUUUAAAAAAGUGAUACAGCCAGUAUUUGAACUUGUGAAGUCUGAUUCUGGAGUUUAAGAUCUUAAUGACUAGCUUGGAGGAUUGGGGAGAAACAGGCUUUCUUUGUACUUAUUGAGAGCUGUUAGUAUAAUUUAAGCAUUGACUUUUUAACAUGGAGUAGAUUGACAGUGGGGGUGUAAUGGCUAAUGGCAUGGUGGUUUGCACAGGUCUGUGAUACCUUUUUCUAAAUAAGUUUUCUUUUGUGUUUUGAGAUUUUUGGGGAUUUUGUUUUUGUUUAUUUGUUUGUUUGUUUUGUUUUUUGGUUGUUUCAGGGCCACACACACUGCAAAAUAUGGAGGUACCCAGGCUAGGGGUCAAAUCAGAACUGUAAAUCCCAGCCUAAACCAAAGACACAGCAAUGUGGAAUCCAAGCACACAGUCACCUCCAGAAAUGUCCCAAGAAAGUGUGCUGCACAAUGUAGAGCCAAGAUCUGCUUCAUCCACCAGUGGGCAGGCAAUAGCCCCUUAAAUCAAGGAAACCUUCACAAGCCUCCAGACCAGCCUCACCCAUAAAUACACAGACAUCAGAAGUGAGAUAAUAUACUGCAGUCUACAGAACUGGGUCCAUAAGCACAGGCAGAACCUAUCAUGGGACUGGAUGGUCCCUUACCAUUUGGUGAUGAGAGGGGAGUGUACUACUGGCACACAGACAACAUCCCAUACAGAGGACUACUUUUCCAAGGUCAGAAACAUAAAAAGUCUACUGCAUACAUAAAAUACAAAUAGAAGUUUAAACAAAAGAAGAUUGCAAAGGAAUAUCCUCCAGGUGAAGGAACAAGAUAAAACCUCAGAGGAACUAAGUGAAGUGGACAUAUGCAAUCUACACAAGAGUCAGAGUAAAGAUUCUAAAGGUGAUCCAGGAACUCAGGAAAAGAGCAUAUGGACAGAGCAUGAAGGUACAAGAAGCUUUUCGCAAAAAGUUAGAAAACCUAAUGAAACAAAAAAACAGCUGAAGAAUAUAAUAACUGAAAUGAAAAAUAUAGUACAAGGAAUCAAUAGCAGAAUAAAUUAAACAGAAGAGUACAUCAGUGAUCUGGAAGACUGAGUGGUAGAGAUCAGUGCCAUGAAACACAAUAAAGAAAAAAGAAUGAAAGGAAACGAAUGAAAAAAGAAUGAAAGCCCCAGAGAUAUCUAGGGCAAUGUCAAACAUAAGAGCAUCUGCAUUAUAGGGGUGUCUGAAGGAGAUGAUGGAAAGGGCCUGAGAGCUUAUUUAAAGAGAUAGUAGCUCAACUUGCCUAACAUGGGAUAGGAAAUGGUCACUGAUAUCCAGAAAGUGCAGAGUCCCAUACAGGAUUAACCAAAGGAGGAACAUGCUGAGACACAUAGGAAUCAAAUAGAAGAAAAAUUAAAGAUAGAUAAAAUGUUAAAAAUAACUAAGGAAAAGCAAUAAAUAAAUACGAAGGAAUUCCCAUGAGGCUAUCCUCUGAUUUUUCAGAAGACAUUUUGCACAAGAGAAGGGAGUGCGAGAAGAUAUUUAAAUUGAUGAAAGGGGAAAAAAGCUUAAAAUUGAAAUACAGUACCCAGCUAGGCACUGAUCCAUAUUUCAUGGAGAAAUUAAAUAUUUUACAGAUAAACAAAACAAGAAAUCUACACACCAAACUACUUUUAGUUUAUUAUUUUUAUUUAUUUACUUAUAUUUUAUCUUUUUGCAUUUUCUAGGGCAGCUCCCAUUGCAUAUAGAGGUUCCAGGGCUAGGGGUCAAUUCGGAGCUGUAGCCACCAGCCUACACCAGAGCCACAGCAACACAGGAUCUGAGCCAUGUCUGCAAACUAAAACACAGCUCAUGGCAAUGCCAUGUCCUUAACCCAUGCAAAGCCAGGGAUCAAACCUGCAACCUCAUGGUUCCUAGUCAGAUUCAUUAAUGACUGCACCACCAUGGGAACUCAACAAACCAAGCUAGUUUUAAAGCAAAUGGUAAAAGAACUCCUCUAAGUGGAAAAGGACACAGGCAGAAACAGGAAAAUUAUGAAAUAGAAAAUUAUGAAAUUUUCUCAGUGGUAAAGGCAAACUUACAAACAUCCACAAAUAUGAUAUCAAAAACAGUAAUCACGAGAGAAGAGUAUAAAUGUGGGACAUUUGAAAUUUAAGUGAUUAGCUUGUAUAAACAUUCAUAUAUGUAUAUAGACUGCUAUAUUGCAACCUCAUGGUAAUCACAGAGCAAAAAUCCAUCAUAGAUAGAAAGCAAAAAAAGAUAAAGGAUUCCAAACAUUAAAUAAAAGGUAGUCAUCAAAUCAAGAGAUGAGACCAAAAGAGGAAAGGAAGGGAGAUCAGCAGAAGAUGGCAGAGGUAUAGAAGGUGGAUACCACCUUCUCCAAAAAUAUAUAUUAAAAAAAAUCUACGUGUAGAACAAUUCUCACAGUACAUUUCUUGAACACUGAGAGAAGAAAUCAGCCUUCCUAAAGGACAAGAAAAUCUCCACAUAUCUGGUGUAAGAGAAAAUAAGUCAAAUGAAGAGGCAGAAGCAGCAAUCCCAAUUAAACGAAUAGAACAUCCCUGAAGGAGCAAACAAUGAGACCACCUAAUACACAUUCAGUUCAAAAAGGAGGUAAAGAAAAUAGUGAAGCAAUUAAGAAAGGCCAGCAACAGAAAGGAGAAUUACUGUAAAAAAGGAAUUAGAAAGUAUAAGGAGGAGCCAAGAAAAAUUAGAAAACUCCAUUGCCAUGAUAAAAGCAGAGUUAAAGGCAAUGAAAAGCAGAAUGAAUAACGUGAAGGAACAAAUAAGUAACUUGGAAGACAGAAUAAUGGAAAUUACUCAACCAUGGCAGCAGACAGAGAGCCAAAUGAACAGGGGAGGCGGAGGAAGAGGAGGAAGAAAAGAAAACAAUACAGGUGAUCUUGGGGAUUAUAUAUAAUGAAUGUGUCAAACCAUGCAAAGCAAGGAUGGCAGAAGUUGAGGAGAGUCAAAAGGGUGUUGAAAAUGUACUUGAAGGCUAAAAACUUCCCAAACAUAAGAAAGGAAACAGAUAUCCAGGCACAUGAGGCACAGAGUGUCCCUAAGAAGACGAACCCAAACAGACCUGCAUCAAGACAUAUUCUUUUUUAAAACAGCAAAAGUGAAAGAUAAACAAAGGCUUCUAAAGGCAGAACGAGAAAAGCAAAGCAUUAAUUACAAGGGAACCCCCAUAAGGCUUUCAGCUUAUUUCUCUACAGAAAAGCUGCAGGCCAGAAGGGAGUGGCAAAAUAUAGUCAAAGUUCAAAAAAGGAAAAAAAAAAAAAAAAAGAGUCUGGAGGAGGAUGGUGGAUGAGUAGGACAUGUGGCUCACCUAUUCCCAGAAAUACAUUGAGAAUAUAUCUGAAAGGGGAACACUUUUUUUUGGUCCUUUUGCCUUUUAUAGGGCUGCUCCCAUAGCAUAUGGUGGUUCACAGGCUGGGGGUCUAAUCUGAGCUGUAGUCACCAGCCUAUGCCAGACCCACAGGAACGUGGGAUCCAAGCCACGUCUGAAAUCUAUACCACAGCUCACAGCAACAUCGGACGAUCCUUAACCCACUGAGUAAGGCCCAGGACCAAACUCACAACCUCAUGGUUCCUAGUCAGAUUUGUUACCCACUGCACCACAAUGGGAACUCCUACAUAUGGAACUCUUCACACAGAAAAUUUGCCAAACACGUGACAAAGAUCUCAGGAUUAGGAUAGGGCAAGAAACCCUUCAUGAAACCAUAAAGGACAAAAGAAAGAAGAAAAAGAGAGAGGGGAGAGAAGGGAGACAGGACAGCCACCCCUAGGAGGGAGUUGGAAAGAGGAAAAGACCCUGCACCCUGGGAAGCUCCAACACCAGCAAGGAGGUCUGCCUGGACAGAGGAGGAACUUUAGAGUACUGGAGGAGAACAGAGCAAUUGGUGUGAAGCAGCUGAAAUGGAAACAAUCCACAAACCAUCAGUGCUACAGUGGCAACUGUACAGCGGUGCAAGUGUCAGGAACUAAAAUUCUGGCCUUAGAGGUUAGACACAAAGAGAGGUGAGGGUUGGCCAUGCAGAAACAGCCUGAAGGAACUUAAGUAUAGGGGGACCACUUUGGAGGGUGCAAGCUGAGGCAACCCCAUCAGGAUUAGACUAGGUGCCAUCAUUUGGGGUACUGGAGAGAAGGAGUGGCUGCCUAGCAACAGAUGGUGAGCAGCCUCAUCCUUAGGGCUACAGAGAACUCAAGAGCAGGAAGAGUACCAACCUGGUGGUGGAGGGGGAUGACACAAGCUAUGCUGCUCCUGCCAGUGGCUCCUACUCUGAUGGUGCAAAUUCCAUGCCAAAAGAACCCCUAGAGGGCCAUCAGUGCACGAUCCUUGCAGGAGCUGCAAAGUGCCUGACUGGGAAAUGCACGAGCUCCAUGGUUCUGCUCAGUGGUCCUGUGGGGGGCCUGCACUAGGGGCACCCAUUCCAUUCCAUGCCAGGGGAGUCCCAAAGGGGCCACCAGAACACAUUUUCCUGUGGGAUCUGUAGGCUCCCUGGCUGGAGAAAAGCUCAAGCUCCAAGGCUCCUGCCAGUGACCCUGCAGGGCCCAUGCCAGUGGCACUCCUUCCAUGCCAAGGAGGCUAUGGGAGGCCCAUUGGUACACUUUCUGAUCUAUAGAGACCCUCCCUGUCUGCAGCCAGGUCAGGAGAGAGACCACCAGAAGUACAUGUUCUCCAGCUCAACAGUCAGGGAGCAAUUAGAGUAUUCUCUAACACCAUAUAAAAAAUGUCAAAAUAUUAAACAUAUACAUUUAAGGCCAGAAACUAUAAAACUCCUAGAGGAAAACAGAGGCAGAGUUCUCAUUGACAUAAAUCACAAUAUCUUGGAUUUUGUUGGUGUUUUCUUAACAAUAUUUGUUCUUUUUUUAAUACUCAAAUGAAUUUAUCACAUCUGUAGUUAUAUAAUGAUCAUAACAAUUGAAUCUUACAAGAUUUUCAUCCCAUAACCCCUGCACAUCCCCUCACCCCUAAAAUGUCUCCUCUGGAGACCAUAAGUUUUUCAAUGUCUAUGAGUCAGCAUCUGUUCUGCAAAGAAGUUCCAUCUGUGCUUUUUUCAAUUUCCACAUGUCAGUGAAAGCAUUUGAUGUUGGUGUCUCAUUGUAUGGCUGACAUCACUUAGCAUGAUAAUUUCUAGAUCCAUCCAUGUUGCUACAAAUGCCGGUAUUUCAUUCAUUUUAAUGGCUGAAUAAUAUUCCAUUGUGUAUAUGUACCACAUCUUCUCAAUCCACUCCUCUGUCGAUGGACAUUUAGGUUGCUUCCAUGUCUUGGCUAUUGCAAAUAGUGCUGCAAUGAACAUCAGAGUACAUGUGUCCCUGUGAGUCGUGGCUUUAUCUGGAUAGAUGCCCAGGAGUGGGAUUGCUGGAUCAAAUGGUAGUUCUAUUUUUCAUUUUCUGAGGAAUCUCCAUACUGCUUUCCACGGUGGUCGCAGCAAUUUACAAUCCCACCAACUGUGUACUAGAGUUCCAUUUGUUGCACACCCUCUCCAGCACUUACUGUUUGUAGACUUUUUGAUGAUGGCCAUUCUGGCUGGUGUAAGCAGGUACCACAUAGUGGUUUUGAUUUGCAUUUCUCUUGUAAUGAGUGAUGUUGAACAUGUUUUCAUGUGUUUUUUGGCUAUCUGCAUGUCUUCUUUGGAGAACUGUCUGUUUAGAUCUUCUGCCCAUUUUUUGAUGGGGUUGUUUGUUUUUUGGUAUGGAGCUGAAGAAGGUGUUUAUAAAUUUUGGAGAUAAAUCCCUUGUCAGCUGAAUCACUUGCAAAGAUUUUCUCC